rnacentral:rRNA from 1 species
AGCGAACGCUGGCGGCAGGCUUAACACAUGCAAGUCGAACGGACCCUUCGGGGUUAGUGGCGGACGGGUGAGUAACACGUGGGAAUGUGCCCUUAGGUUCGAACAACACAGGGAAACUUGUGCUAAUACCGGAUGUGCCCUUGGGGAAAGAUUUAUUGCCUUUGGAGCAGCCCGCGUCUGAUUAGCUUGUUGGUGAGGUAAAGGCUCACCAAGGCGACGAUCAGUAGCUGGUCGAGAGGAUGGCCAGCCACAUUGGGACUGAGACACGGCCCAAACUCCUACGGGAGGCAGCAGUGGGGAA